UACGGGGGGGGUAAGCGUUGUUCGGAAUUACUGGGCGUAAAGGGCUCGUAGGCGGCCAACUAAGUCAUACGUGAAAUCCCUCAGCUUAACUGGGGAACUGCGUGUGAUACUGGAUGGCUUGGAUUUGGGAGAGGGAUGCGGAAUUCCAGGUGUAGCGGUGAAAUGCGUAGAUAUCAGGAGGAACACCGGUGGCGAAGGCGGCCCUCUGGACGGAUACUGACGCUGAGGCGCGAAAGCGUGGGGAUCAAACAGG
rnacentral:rRNA from 1 species